rnacentral:lncRNA from 1 species
UGAUUUGUUGUCCUAUCCUGUCUAAGUGUAAACAGUUGCUAUUAUGUGUUGUAUUGCUUGUAGUGUAUUGUUCUUUUUAAUUAGCAGGGCAUUGGAAACCUUGAGUACUAGUUUGAAGAGUCGUCGGGGGAUGAAUUUCCGGAUGGGACUAGUUGCUUUAAGUUUAUAUUAUGUAUUCAUUGUUCUUUUAUUCGGUUUUGUAAUAAUCU